rnacentral:rRNA from 1 species
CAGAAUAAACGCUGGCGGCGUGCCUAACACAUGCAAGUCGAACGAGAAAGCCCGGUUUCGACUGGGCGAGUAAAGUGGCGCACGGGUGAGUAACGCGUAGGCAACCUGCCCCUGUGUUCGGGAUAACAGUGCGAAAGCGCUGCUAAUACCGGAUGUGGCAAAGGAGCGAAGGUUUCUUUGUCAAAGUCGGCCUCUCGAUGAAGCUGACGCGCGGGGAUGGGCCUGCGUCCUAUCAGCUAGUUGGUAGGGUAACGGCCUACCAAGGCUUCGACGGGUAGCUGGUCUGAGAGGAUGAUCAGCCACACUGGCACUGAAACACGGGCCAGACUCCUACGGGAGGCAGCAGUGAGGAAUUUUGCGCAAUGGCCGCAAGGCUGACGCAGCAACGCCGCGUGGGUGAAGAAGGCCUUCGGGUCGUAAAGCCCUGUCAGGUGGGAAGAAUGGCCGGGGAGCGAAUAGUUUUCCGGAUUGACGGUACCACCAGAGGAAGCACCGGCUAACUCCGUGCCAGCAGCCGCGGUAA